AAAAUAUGAUUUACUUUUUGUUUGCAUUUUUUAUUUUUAAUUAAAAUCCUUAGACUUAAUUUUAACUCUAUUUGCUUAAAUUAUGUUUGUUACAGUUUUCUAUUAAAAACUUGAUGUAUUUACCUAAAGAAAAUAGUUAGGUUAUGAUCUUCUUUGUCUUAUCACAUUUACAACGCAGCAAGUGCCACUACUUAAGCAGGAC
rnacentral:lncRNA from 1 species